rnacentral:rRNA from 1 species
AGAGUUUGAUCAUGGCUCAGAACGAACGCUGGCGGCGUGGAUAAGACAUGCAAGUCGAACGGGAUAUUAUUUGUAGCAAUACAAAUGAUGUCCAGUGGCGUAAGGGUGCGUAACACGUGGGGAAUCUGCCGAGAAGUGGGGGAUAGCUCGCCGAAAGGCGAAUUAAUACCGCAUGUGGUCAGGGAAGACAUCUUCCCGACACCAAAGCCGGGGCAACCUGGCGCUUCUUGAUGACCCCGCGGCCUAUCAGCUAGUUGGUGAGGUAACGGCUCACCAAGGCUAUGACGGGUAGCUGGUCUGAGAGGACGACCAGCCACACUGGAACUGAGACACGGUCCAGACACCUACGGGUGGCAGCAGUCGAGAAUUUUUCUCAAUGGGGGAAACCCUGAAGGAGCGACGCCGCGUGGAGGAUGAAGGUCUUCGGAUUGUAAACUCCUGUCAUUAGGGAACAAGUUGCAACCGUUAACUGCGGUUGCAUUGAUAGUACCUGAAGAGGAAGAGACGGCUAACUCUGUGCCAGCAGCCGCGGUAAUACAGAGGUCUCAAGCGUUGUUCGGAUUCAUUGGGCGUAAAGGGUGCGUAGGUGGCGCCGUAAGUCAGGUGUGAAAUCUCGGGGCUUAACCCCGAAACUGCAUUUGAUACUGCGGUGCUCGAGUACUGGAGAGGAGAUUGGAAUUUACGGUGUAGCAGUGAAAUGCGUAGAUAUCGUAAGGAAGACCAGUGGCGAAGGCGAAUCUCUGGACAGUUACUGACACUGAGGCACGAAGGCCAGGGGAGCAAACGGGAUUAGAUACCCCGGUAGUCC